rnacentral:lncRNA from 1 species
GCAGCUUCGCCUCUCCGUACAUCGGCAGCCACGACACCGUCCAGUCCACGAACCUCUCGACGACCGUCGGCAUCGCCACCAGAACCCUACAGCAUUACCAACAGAAGUUCAGAAACUUCAGAUUCUCCAGAAGAAUGACACGGAAAAACAAUGCGGUACAUCUCGGUGCCAAUGUGCUACAAUUUUUUUCCGAGAUUCUUAUUUAUCUGUUGUGUUGGAAGACCUAAAAAGAAACGGCACGUACGAACCACAUAAGGAGUUAGAGGCAUAAUUCUUUCGGUAUUCAAUACCUUGAUAUCUUUCACAAUUUCAAAGAUAACAAAGUCCAUAGUGACUAUACAAAAACUAUCUGUCCAUUUUUCUAUCUAUCAAUGGCGAAGUAUCAAGUGAAAACGUCUAUCCAGUAAAAACUGAAAACUAUCACCGUAGCCCACCGGAUGGAGAACGCACGGUACAGAUCCAAGGUGGGAAUAUAACUAGCCACUUAACCAUAGUUUUACAGAUAACCCCCUUGCCUUUACGUCCGAACUUAGUAAAGAACUAGAAAAAAAAAAGGAGAAAACGAAUCGCGCGAGGGCGACUUGGAGGCGGCGGCGGCGAUUUGACGGCGACUGACUGCGGCGCCGCUCCUCUAGCGACGGCGACUCGGAGGCCGUGCUGGAGCCCUACGCGACCGCGAACCAGCACUGCCUACACGCGCUGGUGGCAGCAGCGGUAGCACCACGCAUCGGCGACCCGACGACGCCCGCCGUGAUGCCCCAGCGCCACGGCGACCUCCGCGGCCCAGCGACCUAGCGCUGCCCCCAGGCGACCUGGUGCUGGUCCACGCGAGGGAGACCCGGCGGCCACGGUGCUGCCUCCCUGCGACGGUGACCCGGCGACUUGGUUGUCCAUCGAAGCUGCAGUUCCGCUGUACAGAGUAGAAACGUAGGUAUUUUGCUGUAACUGAAUGAUGAAUUGGAUGUACAGAUAAGUACUUGAUGUUUUGCUGCAGCUGAAUGAAAGUGGAUGUACAGAAAAUACUUGAAUGGAUGUACUUAUACAGGAAAUCUUUGCUCUUUCACUAUUGCUGUACAUACUGAAAUUGCAGAUUUACAGAAUAAAUGUGAACUGGUUCCAGAAAUAUUAGGAUUUGUCUAUGAAAAGAGAAAGACUACUAAUCUUAAGAACUGAUGCUUGCAAUGUACGCAGCCAUCCAACAAAAAGGCAUAGCUCUUGUCACUAUCUAUGGUGAUCUGAACUUUCUGCAGUAUUGUGUGUAACAAAUUCAGGACAGAGGGAGCUCUCACUCAGAUGGGUGUAUUUGAUUAAUUAGAUGGUCCAUGCCAUCAACAAUUGCACUAUUGACUGGCUGUCUAUUGUCUGCCUCACAAGACAACAACAUGUGUUAAAAGUGAGGCAUGUACUAGUUAUAAAAGCAACAGCACUCAGCAUUACCCCUGUUUAUAGUCAACUGAUAAAACCAACAACACUCAGCAUUGCCUUUGUACCACCAGUACUGUUUACCACAAGGCAUAUCUGAUAAAACCAACAACACUCAACAUUGCCCUUGCUGUAGGAGAUGACAUCCACACCAUUUUCUACUAUUGGAAGAGCAUAGUGACUAUACAAACUUGCAAAUUGGGCUGGCUAAAAACUAAACAGAGAGUGCAUCUUCUCUAACACUAGUAGAAAUAGGGGCUUUUGGCCCGGUUGGUAAGGGCCUUUAGUCCCGGUUCUUACACGAACCGGGACUAAAGGCCGCGGCCACGUGGAGCUCCACCUUUAGUCCCGGUUGGUAACCGGGACUAAAGGAAAUUUUAUGAUUUUUUUUUUGAAUUUUUUUUUUUGAUUUUUUUUUAUUUUCAAAUUUCUGAAUUAUUUUAACCUCUAAUCUCUAAUCAUCACCCCUCAUCAUCCCUCAUCAUUCCAAAUCAUCUAAAUUCCAGAGAGAUUUUGCAAAUAAAGUCGAAAUUCAUAUUUGUAAAUUUUUCCAACAACUAGACCACAUAUCACAUGGGAAACUUAUUUUAUUUUAUUUUUUUGACAUUUCCAUCAUUUUCUUUUGUUUUUUUCUAGAACUGAAAAGGCGGUCUAAGGGGGGUGUAGAGUUUGAAAAUGGGACCUUUAGUCUCGGUUCGUGUCAUGAACCGGUACUAAUGCCUCAACUUUAGUCCCGGUUGGUGCCACCAACCGGUACUAAUGGGCAUCGCACCCUUUAGUCCCGGUUCGUGGCACCAACCGGGACUAAAGGGCCCAGGUGAACCGGGACUAAUGCCUUAGCCGCACGAACCGGGACCAAUGCUCACAUUAGUCCCGGUUCGUGACUGAACCGGGACUAAUGUGAAUAUUGCUGUGUGACCAAAGCCCUGUUUUCUACUAGUGUAACCGGCCAUGAUGAUAAGUAAUUCGGGUGAACAUGCUGCUAAAUGCCAAGCGCUAACCAUGAUGAUAAGUUCUAAUUGGUCUAAGAGUACUCAUACUGAACACUAAGAGUGGUAUUUGUUGAAGACAAACUGGACUGAAGUGAUAAAAACAAGACGCAGUGUCAUACAGUCUACCAAUGCACACAAAAACUGCCCCUGAAACAGGCAACCAUGUAAUAAGCAAACUAAAGCAUUGUGGGGGGAGGGAUCCCGCCGCUCCACGCUGCCGAAUCGCCACCGAGCCAUGCGCCGCCACCGCUAGGAGAGAACGUCAUCGCUGCGCGAGGGAGAAGGCCCCGCUGCCGUCGUUGCCUCCCGGGCUUUGCCCGGUGGGACCUUUGGCGGCAGCGGGAGGGAGCGGACGAGGGCACGGUCGGCCCCCGUGUGGCCUAGGGGUGAUUGCAACUAUCCUAAUCCUAUUGCCUGUACACGUAAAACUAGUACUACUAAAGGAAACUAACUAGCUAGCACUCACGUAUAGACUCCACUAUUAAUACAUCUGGAUGUAGAUUAGACUAAGGAAAGAUUAUUUCCAACAGGAGAUACAUGUACAAAAGAAAGGGGUUCAAUUUUCACCUAUGUAAGUUGGUGGACACCUUCGGGCAGAUGUGAGAAAACUCGGUGCAGCUUCAAUCAAGGAUACAACAGAAAUUUGUCAAGGGGAAAUCUUGGUGCAGCAUCAAUCAAGGAUACAACAGAAAUUAGUCAAGGGGAAAUCUUGGUGCAGCAGCACGACAAAAACUGAACUUGAGUAAAGUAAACCUGGUUGCCUAAUCACAUAUUAGAUUGACUGAACUUAUUCUUUGCGCAAGUGAGAAAUCGGAAACCCUUCUUGUACUUGUGCCACAGCUACUAGUACAACUUGAGCACUAACAACAAUUGAGCAAGAAUAUAGUGCAAGACAAAACGAAUACAUCCAUCUAUCCAGUUGAAUGACAAAAUUGCAACCUAUCAAAUGUACAGAGAAGAAAGGGGUUCAGUUUUCAGAGUGGGGAGCAGAUAAGAUAGAUGCGACCUUGACAAGCAGAUGAGCGGGAAGACGAGCUCCAUGUCAUCUUCUCGUGGCCGAGCACAGACGCAGUGGCCUUCCUCGACCUUCUUUCGUCAAGGGUCCAUGGCAUGGAGUGUGAUGGAUCUAGGACUUGGUUCAUCUCCCUCUUCUCGGCACAUCUACAAGAGAAGACUCCACCAGAGAUUAGACACGGGGAGGGAGAGAUAGGAAGAGGAAGGAGGAUGGGUUGAACUCGCCGGAGUGAGAGGCGCCGCUGCGCCCGAAACCCUAGCCGCGGGGGAGGGCUGCUAGUGGGCACGAGCGUCGAAUCCAGUCGGAGGGGAGGACGUAGCGGGGGAAGGCAAGCUCGGGAGCGUGUCCGGCGGUGCCAGGAGUCGCCGGAGCGGGGCGAGGUGGCCGGCGUAUGUGGCUGUGGCGGCGAGGAGUCGCAGCGGAGAGAGGGGGGCUAACGCAAGAGAG